ACUAAAUCUCCCGGCUGGCCUGGGAACGCCCCGGGACCCUCCGGGAGGAACUGGACAAAGUGCCUGGGGAGGGGGAAGUCUGGGCUUCCCUGCUUAGGCUGCUGCCUACGCGACCCGACCUUGGAUAAGCAGAAGAUGGAUGGAUGGAUGGAUGGAUGGAUUGUUAUUCUGAAGCUAAUCAAUAAUAAAUAAAAUACUUCUUACCAUUAAUGCGACUUCUUGAACAGGUGGGACUGUGGGGUAGAAAACAGAUGGAUGGAUUAAAAUGCAUGAGUGUUUUAUAUUUUGGACGUUAUUUUUAACACUGUGAUUACCAGCGGAAUUAUUCAUUACUUCUCGUGUUCAGCAAUGUUAGCUAAGGUUUAUCUGGGAUCUGAACUGAGGAUGUUGUUGAAGCUUGUGCAGCCCUUUGAGACACUUGGAAUUUAGGGCUAUAUAAAUAAACAUUGAUUGAUUGAUUGAUUGAUUAUCUGAGAGCCAGAUGCAGUCCGUGGGAGCCAGGGCGUGGUCAGGCGCCGCCUGUGGACGAGGCAUGCACAAGAGCCGGCUGGAAGCAGAUGGUAGCAGCGUUGGUGACCGCAGGGCUGGGCUGAAAAGCCAGAAGAGGCUGCACGAGGGGCUGACGGAGGAGAAAGAAUUUACGGACAAAGAGAAGAAAUAUUGUGAGUGAGCAAAAUAAGACUGAAAAGACUUUGUGAACGAACAAAAAGAAGAAAUGUUGUGAAAAGAACAAAAUAAAAAGAAAAGACAUUUGUGAACCAGCAAUAGAAGAAAUAUUGUGUGAGAAGACAUUAAAAGAAUUGGCAAACUUGA